rnacentral:rRNA from 1 species
AUUGAACGCUGGCGGCAUGCCUUACACAUGCAAGUCGAACGGCAGCAUGGGUGCUUGCACCUGAUGGCGAGUGGCGAACGGGUGAGUAAUGCAUCGGAACGUACCCGGAAGUGGGGGAUAACGUAGCGAAAGUUACGCUAAUACCGCAUAUUCUGUGAGCAGGAAAGCGGGGGAGUCGCAAGACCUCGCGCUUCCGGAGCGGCCGAUGUCGGAUUAGCUAGUUGGCGGGGUAAAGGCCCACCAAGGCAACGAUCCGUAGCGGGUCUGAGAGGAUGAUCCGCCACACUGGGACUGAGACACGGCCCAGACUCCUACGGGAGGCAGCAGUGGGGAAUUUUGGACAAUGGGCGCAAGCCUGAUCCAGCCAUGCCGCGUGAGU